UGGGGAAUCUUGCGCAAUGGGCGAAAGCCUGACGCAGCAACGCCGCGUGCGGGAUGAAGGCCUUCGGGUUGUAAACCGCUUUCAGGAGGGACGAAAUUGACGGUACCUCCAGAAGAAGCCCCGGCCAACUACGUGCCAGCAGCCGCGGUAACACGUAGGGGGCAAGCGUUGUCCGGAUUUAUUGGGCGUAAAGAGCUCGUAGGCGGCUUAGUAAGUCGGGUGUGAAACCUCCAGGCUCAACCUGGGGACGCCACCCGAUACUGCUGUGGCUAGAGGCCGGUAGGGGAGCGUGGAAGUCCAGGUGUAGCGGUGAAAUGCGCAGAUAUCAGGAGGAACACCAGCGGCGAAGGCGGCGCUCUGGGCCGGUACUGACGCUGAGGAGCGAAAGCGUGGGGAGCAAACAGG
rnacentral:rRNA from 1 species